GACGAACGCUGGCGGCGUGCUUAACACAUGCAAGUCGAACGGAAAGGCCCUGCUUGCAGGGUACUCGAGUGGCGAACGGGUGAGUAACACGUGGGUGAUCUGCCCUGCACUUCGGGAUAAGCCUGGGAAACUGGGUCUAAUACCGGAUAGGAGCCAUUUUUAGUGUGAUGGUUGGAAAGUUUUUUCGGUGUAGGAUGAGCUCGCGGCCUAUCAGCUUGUUGGUGGGGUAAUGGCCUACCAAGGCGGCGACGGGUAGCCGGCCUGAGAGGGUGGACGGCCACAUUGGGACUGAGAUACGGCCCAGACUCCUACGGGAGGCAGCAGUGGGGAAUAUUGCACAAUGGGCGCAAGACUGAUGCAGCGACGCCGCGUGGGGGAUGACGGCCUUCGGGUUGUAAACUCCUUUCGCUAGGGACGAAGCUUUUUGUGACGGUACCUAGAGAAGAAGCACCGGCUAACUACGUG
rnacentral:rRNA from 1 species